rnacentral:lncRNA from 1 species
GUUCACUCUAAAAACCAAAAAAAUUUCAAUAUUUUUCAUCAUAUCAAAUCUUGCGGCACAUGUAUGGAGCAUUAAAUAUAGUCGAAAAUAAAAAGUAAUUACACAGUUUGUCUGUAAAUCAUAAAAAUCUUUUGAGCCUAGUUAGCUCAUGAUUAAAUAAUAAUUAUCAAAUAAAAAUAAAAGUACUACUGUAGCCAAAAUUAAAAAAACUAGAAACUAAACAAGACCUAAAGCACAAAACAUGCCUUAACAGUACUAUGCUAAUUAAGGCCAUAUUUAGUUUUAAAACUUUUUAAAUUUUUUUGUCAUAUCAAAUUUUAUGAUAUAUUUAUAAAGCAUUAAAUAUAAAUAAAAAUAACUAAUUAUACAGUACUGUUAUUUACGAGAUGAAACCUAACUAGUCUAUAAUUAGAUAAUAAUUAUUAAAUAAAAAUAAAAGUACUACCUAUCUAAAACUAAGGCUUUGUUUAGUUCACCCAAAAACUCAAAACUUUUCAAGAUUCUCCGUCACAUCGAAUCUUACGGCACAUACAUUGAGCAUUAAAUAUAAAUAAAAAUAAAAAACUAAUUAUACAGUUUGUCUAUAAAUCGUGAAACGAAUCUUUUAAACUUAAUUACACCAUAAUUAAAUAAUGUUUGUCAAAUAAAAACAAAAGUACUAUAAUAUCAUUUUUUCUAAAAAAAAAUUGGAACUAAAACAAGACCUAAAAUAACGACGCUGGCUGCACCACAGCAGCAAACAAACGAUGUGAGGUGAGCAGUGGUGGUAACAUGGGCCUUGUUUAGUUCCCAAAAAAUUUUGCAAAAUUUUUCAGAUUCUCCGUCACAUC